AUUGGCGUAACGGAAUGUAUCGAUUUUUUCCAAAAUGUACGUAUUGAUAUCGAUUGAUAAUCGUUUCCACAAGCGAAAUGGUGGAAACUAUUGGUGGAAAGAUUCAUGCCUUCAUUGAAAGUGUCAAGUAUGGCUGUGUCGUGUUAUCGUGUAUGUUCGUGAAUCGUGAUAACGGUGAAUCGUGAUAACGGUAUAACUAACUGAUAACUAAAUUUACAUGAGUUAACAUAGUUAUGCUUUCCAACUGAAGCACUUGACUUGAUCAAGCAGUUAACUGUCGAGUUUGCCUUGGAGGAUGUGACGUCUUUUGCUUCUGCCAGUCAUAUUACUUCUAAUCAUUUCAAGCAACAUGUUAUACCCAUCAUACCUCCACAUGAAAGGACUGCUCUUACAUCCCACGAAAGACUCCCCAGUUGGAGUGAACAAAACUCGAUUUAGGAAAUGAUAUCCAAUCAAUGAGGACAUCUCAAAGGAACAGAGAUUCAGGACUGGAUUAUAUCAUGCUCGCGAUCCGUAUGCUUUCGACCUUGAAGUUACUUAUAACAGCUUGGGAGUCGGUGGAACAAAAAUAAGAACGAGUACGAUUUACGAGAAUUCUCUAGACGGUCUUCACGACAUAUCUUCAUGACCCUGAUAGUAGAAGCUUACAAUUUCGAGAGUUCGUUUGAAAUUAACGAUCAUUUUCGUCUUUAUCCAAGCAGCAGCUACGUAGCCCGACGUGAGGUUAUGCCUGUCAAGUAAUCAAUGUCAUUUAAGCUCGACUCUAUCUUGGCCUUUUUCUUUUGACUUACGGUCGACAAUCAAAAAGGCGUGCCUUGUUUUUCGGAAAGAAUAGUAUGGACAGCGUGCCCUGGUCAGUUAAUAGAGCCUGGCGUCAUCCAACACUCGAUGCCAGCAGAAGAACGUUCCAUAGCUCCCCGGCCGAACUGCACUGGAGCGAGUCGACGAAGUAGCCAGCAUCCUUCUGAACUCAAUUCAAAGUCUUUUCGAUGUCCAACUUUGCUAAUGGCGGGUCCGCGAUUGCUGUCGCUUCUUGAUUAGAAUCAAACUUGCGGUUUCAAGGCGACCGAAAAGAAAUAACACUGGGCAGUGUUAAGCGAUAGAUGUUUUUUUCGUAACAACUUCUGGAGGCUUAUUGCAUUCUUCAAAGCCUUCUUUUGAUUUCUGUCAAAUCAAGAAGGGGGACCAUCGGCAUUCAGCUUUCUACGUUGGAAAUAUGUUCCGCCAGUUUUCUGUUUCUUCCGGCUCUCUACUACGGAUGUUUUUAUUCGAUGCUGGCGGUCAAUUCUUUCAACCCGGAACUUUCGUCGUUUAAUAACUCAACAUUGUCGUGGCGCAUUCACCCCGGGCAAGUUUGGAUGGCCAUUUUCUCGUCCAUGAUGCGUUUUAGAAGAUACAAAUCAUAAGCUUAACCUAAAUCAUAAGUUCCUUACGUUGAUAUUUUGCGAUGCUGUGUGGAUGAGUCAAAUGAAUACAUGUGUAUUUACGAAACUAAA